rnacentral:rRNA from 1 species
UACGAAGGGGGCUAGCGUUGCUCGGAAUCACUGGGCGUAAAGGGUGCGUAGGCGGGUCUUUUAAGUCAGGGGGUGAAAUCCUGGAGCUCAACUACCAGAACUGGCCUUUGAUACUGAAGAUCUUGAGUUCGGGAGAGGUGAGUGGAACUGCGAGUGUAGAGGUGAAAUUCGUAGAUAUUCGCAAGAACACCAGUGGCGAAGGCGGGUCUCUGGGCCGAUAACUGAC